rnacentral:lncRNA from 1 species
GACAAGACAAUAAAUAGAAAUGAUCAUCAAAUUAACUAUAAAUAGCACUAUAUACUAUUUUUUCAUACUAUCUUGAAUGACUAUCUAUCUCACACGCUCCCCUCCUAUAAAAGUUGGUAGAAGGAAAUUUACAUAAAUUUAAGAACAAAAUAUCCACUUAUGAACAUUGUGUACUUUUUGCCAAAAUAUCCAUGAGAGUAUCAUCCAAAUAAUGCAUUUAUUUAAGAACAAAAUUAUCCAAGUUAUACUAAAUAUUCAUCAUCAUUUGUGUCGCUGCAAAGUGGCAUUUUCUUACUGACAAUGAUGCAUUCUCCAUUCUGUGAUUGAGCUUUUCAUUAAAGUAUUUUGCAAAAGCACCUGCAGAAUAAUAACAUAAAUUGCAAUACUCAUAGUUAAGUAAAGAGGGUCAUAUUUGCUCCUUAAAUAUUAAAAAUAGUUUAACAUUGCCUUUUGUUAUACUAUCAUUUUAUAUAUGUACUUAUGUUAUAUAUUAUUGAUCUAUAUAUACCUAUAACCUAUAAAAUAAAAUAUCCUAAUAUUUUCAAGACUUUAUACUAUUCUAAAAACGCAGAAAAAUAAAAAUGAAGAUACAAUUAAUAAUUAAUUUUGCAUAACAAUUGCGUCAUUGGAAUAGAAUCAAAAGGUAAUAUUCAAAGUGUAUCGAUAAGAAGAAAUUCAUAGCCAUAAUUAAUACAUGUGUUUCAUUCAUUUUUCUCUAUCGUCCCAGAAUCUAUUGGAAAAAAAAAGACAUACUUUAUUCAAAUAAACUCAUACUCUUUAAGACAUUAGACAUGAUAUCCAAUUUAAUUAAAAGUAUCAAAAGAUGCAGCUACCAAAGAUACUAUUAUUAAUAGCAGCAAAACUUGAAGCCACGAAAGAUGCCAAUGUCAUGCAAUCCAUUAUCUGCGUUAAUAAUCAAAAGCACAAAAAUAAAAAUAAAAAUAAAAAUUAUCAAGAUAGCUCUAUUGGCAAUAUUUCAAUUCCUACUUAUAGAAUUAUACUGAAUUUAUUGUUGUUCUGUCUAUAAUCAAUUUUAAAGCACAAAGAAGAUAAAAUUAUAUCCAAUAGCCUUCAACAAUAAAAAACAUGCAAUACCACCAAGUGGCUUUAUUACAAAUUAUAAUCAUCUAUUUCAGGUUAGCAUACAAUAUUGAAUAGACAAGCUUAAAUACAUUCAAAUAAUUUUUAUUUUUGAAAAUAACAUUGUCAUUUCUUGUGAAAAUCAACAAUAUCAGAUUUUUUUCAAAUCGGUAUGGAAAUAGUAGGCUGACAAAUUUUGAAGACUACUAUAAUUAACUUUAAAUAUUAUGUAGAUUUUGAUUUACAUAGUCUCAUUUUUCUUAAUUUGAUACAAAGAUUUUUUAUCUUUCUGUUUUUGAGUCUCAUUUUUCUUAAUUUGAUACAAAGAUUUUUUAUCUUUCUAUUUUUAUCUUAUUAUUUAAUUUUUUGGCCAUAAGCAAAGAUUUUUUAUCUUUCUAUUUUUAUCUUAUUAUUUAAUUUUUUGGCCAUUAGCGAAUUUGAAUGGGCAAAUCUUAAGCUCAACCUUGACUUUUAUAGAUUUUUCAUUUUGCAGUUGGAUAUUUUGGGACAAUUUCUACCAUCUUGAUAUUUAGAAGAUAGAUUCAGGAACUCAUACUUAAGGGAUAGAUUCAAGAAGCUACACAAUGUUAACUAAAAAUUGAGCAGUAAAAUAAAGUAGCAUAAAAUCAUCACCGACAAGUCAUAUUAUUAAUUUUCUUUUAUGACUACAGAUAAAAAAGACAAAUAGCAUAUCAACACGCUAAUAUCUACAAACGCCAACAAAUAACAAAACACUGUAUUUUUAACAUUCUUAAUAAGUUAAUGAAAAUAUAUUAUUUGAAAAAGAAAAAAGAUCAAACAAUUAUUCCAGCAUGAAUUUCUUCUCUUUUGUUUUUAUACUUAAAAUUUUUAUUUUGUAAUUAGAUUGUCAGUAUAGACAACGAUUGAAUUGAAAAAAUCAAGUAACUUAAAAAUAUAUAUAAUCUAAUUUUAAAUUGGGCCACUAAAUAAAGUCUCUGACUUUUCCUUGCCAUCAUUAAUUUUGAUCUUCUAUACUAUAUAGCGCCGAAUGGUAACCUCAAAUGCCAAUGCAAAUAAAAAUAUAAGACCAUCAGAAUGUAUUAAUAUCGACAUAUAUAAAUAAUUUUCUAAAGCAAAAACUCAAAUUGUAAAAAUAUAAAAUUAAUUCGUAAUAAAAUUUACUUUCUAAACUAUUCAUUUCAUUGUUGGAGUUAGCUCAACUUGAUUUUUAUUAAUUAGUCAUUCCACGGAGAGUUUAUCCAACUAUUUAUUUCUCCAUAUUUAUCAUUAAGUAAAUAAUUUGCAUUAAUCCACGAUGUAUUGGUAAGUAUCCUAUGGAGAGAGACAAUAUUUUAAAUGAAACUAAAACAUAGCUUUCAAUUAAUAAAAAAUGCAAACGCUUUAUGUUUUGAUAAAUGUUGAAUAGAUACACAAAAUAAAAUUCAUAGAGGCUUACUGAAAAUCAAGAUGAAAUAAUAGGGACUACACUUUGUUAAUAGUUCUUUGUUCCAUAGAUAUGAAAAUAGCUCUUGAAUCACCAAUUUAAUUAAUUAAUAAAUCACUUUUUUUGUCAUACAAUCACAGCAACCACCAGUAUAUACAUUUUCUUGUAAUAGCAAUCAAUCAUUUAAUACUCACGAUUAGGCGUCCAAUAUAUUUCUAUUGAAUCCUCUUGAGCAGAUAAUUGCUUUUAUGUGAAUCUUGUAGUAAUUUCAGAUUGUCUUGUUGGAAUUUUUUAAAAAUUAGUAGGGGCUACACUUUGUUAAUAUCUCUUCGUUCCAUAGAUACAAAAAUAGCCCUUAACUCACCAGUUUAAUUAAUUAAUAAAUCACUUAUUUGUCAUACAAUCACAACAACCACCAGUAUAUACGUUCUCUUAUAAUAACAAAUAAUCAUUUGAUACUUACGGGUAGGUGUCCAAUAUAUUUUUAUUGAAUCCUCUCAAGCAUAUAGCUGCUUUUAUGUGAAUCUUGUAGUAAUUUCGAACCGUAUUGUUUAAAUUUUUUAAAAAUAUUACUGUAUUUGUUGAAUUCUUCAAAAUACAUGUCGAUAUUUUUCAAGAAUCUAGGCAAGACAAAUUUUCAUAUAUUUCAGUUUCAAUCUAUCAAUUACAACUUUAAUCGAAUUUUAGAAAUAAUAAAUCCAACAAAACAGGAUAAUCAAUAUAAAUAUAACUCCAUUCAUCCAUGUAAUUUAAAAUGCAAAAAAUUCACCAUGAAUUAUUUUGACUAUUUACUUUUUAUGUGUAUAUCUCAAAAAAUUUAUUUAUGUAUUUAAUUAUUUCAUUUUGCAAUAGUAUCUCUUGAAUCAACUUCUACUAUUUUUACAAAUUUUAAGAAUAGAUUCAGAAAGCUACACAAAAUUAACAUAAAAUUAAGCAGUUUAAUGAAGUAGCAUAAGUUCAUCAUCCACAAAUUGAAUCAUUACUAUCUUUUAUAACUACAGAUUGAGAAAAAAGAUAUAUAUAUAGUAGAAUAUAUAUUUUUAGAUGUUUUUAAUACAUUUUUAGAUGUUGUAUAAUUUGACAAAGGAAAAGAUCAAAUAGAGCUACUCUAUCUAUUAUGAUUUAAUGUGGGUGAUCAGUCUGCUUGCUAGAUUAAUUUUUUAAUGAAUGUUUUCACAUAUUAUAGCAGUACUUUGCACGUCUUUAUUUAAGGAAUUUAUACUUAUUUUGUAUAUUUUUUAAUUUAUGCGAAGUUUAAGUGAUCUAAGUAUAAAACUUAAUUAUAAUAAUAUUUCAUGAUUAAAUUAAAUGUAUUAUAAAGUAUCUCAAUUGAAAUUAAAUCGAGAAUUUCGAAGCUCUCAGCUUUGCUUGAAAUUAAAUGGAGAAUUCUGAGCUUCCUUUAGCUUUACAUUAGCAGGCAUUAUCAGAUAUCUGGAAUAAAAAAUUAUGCAAUCUCCAAACUUAUAUGACUGAAGAAAAUAAAUGAGAUAGAAAUUGCAUACGACCAAAUCAUAGAAGAUUGAGGAAGAGAAAUAAAAAAUCAGAAGAAGCAGGCAAAAAGAAAAAGAGAAAAAGGAUGAUGUUAUUUCAUGACUCUAUAUAGCUUUUUUCAACUGUGCAGGGUAAAUUCAAUCCAUGUUAGCUCUAACUAAGAUAUUUUUCUUUGUUGUUCCACUAUUCAUGAUUCCAUGUGUAUAAUAAAAAUAUAAGAUUGUAACGAAAAAAGGUAUCAUGAUAGAGUUAAAAUCAUGAUUAGAGUCAAUCACGAUAAAAGAAAUUUAAGACUUUCUCAUCUAUGUUUUAGUAGAGUAUCACAAUAUUAUUUUCUUAAACAAAAAUAUUAAAAAGAAUUGAGAAAUAAUGAAAACAUUAUAAUAUAAAGAACAAUUACAAAAAGUUAUUAAGCUUUUGAUGUUCUUUAUAGAGCUUAUAUUAUGAUCACCUUUAAAAUUUGCUUGUUGUUGACAGCUCUGUGAAUUUUUCUAAGCUCUAUGUCGUAUUCAACACAUGUUUAAAUUAAAUUUUUUAAAUUAUAUUUGAAAAUGCUUCUAAAUCAUAUUCUGAAAAGGCAUUAAAAUUUCAAAAAUUAUCUACGUUCAACUCGUAUUUGCAACACGUAUUUUAUAACAUGUGAAUUUGGUUAUAUUGCUUGUGAUCAUCAAUAUACUUGCGCUUCAUUUACUAUAUAUUCAAUCAGAUAGGAAAAAUGACUUGGAACAUAACAUUCUUAAGAGCACUAUUCUACAUACAGAAUCAUUCCUUCAUACCAUACUAAUAGGGGUACGUGAAUAUGUGUAUAGACCAUAAAUUAAAUGUAAACUAAAUAAAGCUACACAUAGAUAUUUUAUACUAGUAUAUAUGUGAUUAAUAUUCUGAAAUCAGGUUUGCAUCACCUUGAUAUUUAAUAUCUUGUUUGAAUGUCUUUCUUUGAUUUUCUUUUGUUUUCUAAAUCAGUUAUGGAUUGCCUUGUCUUCAUUCUAGAUUAAGAUCAGUAUUGUUUUGUUGUUCCAAAUUUUUUUUAUCUAUUUUAUACUUCUUCUCUUUGAAUGCAUACAAACAUGUGUCAAAGACUAAAGCUAUCAAGUAAUAUUAUAUAAAGAGUUUUAGAGAAAAUAGUCUAUUACCCCAACCUUUACCCCAAAUCUCAACUACACACUCAAUCUUUAAAGAUGACUUAUUACCCCUGAACUAUUUUAAAGUGAAAUUAUUACCGACAACCAGUCAUUUGAAAAUAUAGUGUGAUGCACGCGCUGCCACAUUAUGCCACGUCAUUGCCACAUCAUGCAAAAUAAUAACAUGGCAAUCAGCUGACGCGCUCAUGGGCGAUAUAAUCAUACCCGUUGACACAACAACAACUAGGGAGAUAAUAAAUUCGGUAAAAAUAAGUUUAGAGGGUUAAUAGGUCACCUUUAAAGGUUGAGUGUGUAGUUGGAAUUUGGGAUAAAGGUUUGGGGUAUAAACUAUUUUGAUUGCAAACACAGGUUAAUAAAUUUUAUGGUGUCAUCCUCUUUUCACUAAAAAUUUCAUCAAAUACAUUAAUUGUAUUAAGAUUCAAAUCAAUUUUCUUAUUACUGUUAUUUUUGUUUAAGUUGAUAGCAGUUAGGGUAUUGAGAUAGAAAAUUUUCAAUGAGGCAUACAUCUUAACAAAUAAGCAAAUGUAUGAUCUAAUUUGAAAAAAAUAUGAAGAAAGAAGGAAACUAAAUAUCAAAAUCAAAUCCUAUAAAAUCAAUAAAGGACUUUUCUUAACCCAAAAUUUCAACCUUUUUCGUCUCUUUGUAGGCAAAGAAAAGUCAUCAUAAUACAUCACCAACUAAGAAAAUUCUAGAAGAAUAUAGAGAAAAAGAAGAAGAUUUAGGUAAAAUCAUACCUCAAAUUAUAAGAAAUUAUUGAAAGUCUUUUCAAGAAUUAGACGAGUAUUCUUCUGAUCCCUUGGUAAGAAAUAUGUUUCUCGAGUAUGUCAUUCAUGUGGAGUGAAAUUAAUUGUUAAAAUUAGUCAUAUAUUUGUUCUGGAGAAAUUUUUAUAGAUGGUGAAAGACGAAAAGAUUUUUUAUUUUGUGGAUCUGAGGCAUUCAUAUAAUAAGAAAAGUACACAUGUGGUGAUACCUUCAGAUAUCAUCUGAAAUGUAAAAAGAAGAAGAUGGAUGGUUCUCGAGUUUUGUUAGGGUGAGAUUACUA